rnacentral:rRNA from 1 species
CAUUUCUUUAUUGAUUUUUAUAUAAGGUAUAACCUGCUCAAUGAUUUUUAAAUAGCCGCGAUUUUAUCGUGCUAAGGUAGCAUAAUAAUUUGUCUUUUAAUUAAGGUCUAGAAUGAAUGGUUGAACGAGAAACUAACUUUUUUAAUUAAAUUUUUAUGAAUUUUAUUUUUUAGUAAAAAAGCUAAAAUUUAUUUAUGUGACGAUAAGACCCUAUAAAAUUUUAUUUUCAUAUUUUUAUUUAUUAACUGGUUAAUAUAAUUUUUUAACUAUCUUGGAAAUUUGGUUGGGGCGAUUAUUUUAUUUUUUUAACUUUAAUUUUUACAAUUCAUUAAUUUGUGAAUUAUUGAUCCUAAAUUUUAGAUUAAAAGAAUAAAUUACUUUAGGGAUAACAGCGUAAUUUUCUUGGAGAGUUCUUAUUAAUAAGAAAGAUUGCGA